AUUGAACGCUGGCGGAAUGCUUUACACAUGCAAGUCGAACGGCAGCACAGACUUCGGUCUGGUGGCGAGUGGCGAACGGGUGAGUAACAUAUCGGAACGUAUCCAAUAAUGGGGGAUAACGAGUCGAAAGAUUCGCUAAUACCGCAUACGCCCUACGGGGGAAAGCUGGGGACCUUCGGGCCUGGCGUUAAUGGAGCGGCCGAUAUCUGAUUAGCUAGUUGGUGAGGUAAAGGCUCACCAAGGCGACGAUCAGUAGCUGGUCUGAGAGGACGACCAGCCACACUGGAACUGAGACACGGUCCAGACUCCUACGGGAGGCAGCAGUGGGGAAUGUUGGACAAUGGGCGCAAGCCUGAUCCAGCCAUUCCGCGUGAGUGAAGAAGGCCUUCGGGUUGUAAAGCUCUUUCGCAAGGGAAGAAAACUUAGCCACUAACAUUGGUUGAGGUUGACGGUACCUUGAUAAGAAGCACCGGCUAACUACGUGCCAGCCGCCGCCGUAA
rnacentral:rRNA from 1 species